rnacentral:rRNA from 1 species
AACCAACAGGGAUUGCCCCAGUAACGGCGAGUGAAGCGGCAACAGCUCAAAUUUGAAAUCUGGCCCCUAGGGUCCGAGUUGUAAUUUGUAGAGGAUGCUUUUGGUGAGGUGCCGCCCGAGUUCCCUGGAACGGGACGCCGCAGAGGGUGAGAGCCCCGUCUGGCUGGCCACCGAGCCUCUGUAAAGCUCCUUCAACGAGUCGAGUAGUUUGGGAAUGCUGCUCAAAAUGGGAGGUAUAUGUCUUCUAAAGCUAAAUAUUGGCCAGAGACCGAUAGCGCACAAGUAGAGUGAUCGAAAGAUGAAAAGCACCUUGAAAAGAGGGUUAAACAGUACGUGAAAUUGUUGAAAGGGAAGCGCUUGUGACCAGACUUGGGCGCGGCGGAUCAUCCGGGGUUCUCCCCGGUGCACUUCGCCGCGUUCAGGCCAGCAUCAGUUCGGCGCGGGGGAAAAAGGCUUCGGGAACGUGGCUCCUCCGGGAGUGUUAUAGCCCGUUGCAUAAUACCCUGUGCUGGACUGAGGACCGCGCAUCUGCAAGGAUGCUGGCGUAAUG